rnacentral:rRNA from 1 species
AUACGGAGGAUGCGAGCGUUAUCCGGAUUUAUUGGGUUUAAAGGGUGCGUAGGCGGACGAUUAAGUCAGCUGUGAAAUGCCCGCGCUUAACGCGGGAAGUGCAGUUGAUACUGGUUGUCUGGAGUGCCGUUGCCGUGGGGGGAAUGUGUAGUGUAGCGGUGAAAUGCAUAGAUAUUACACAGAACGCCGAUUGUGAAGACACCUCACGAAGCGGUAACUGACGCUGAGGCACGAAAGCGUGGGGAUCGAACAGGAUUAGAUACCCUGGUAGUCCACGCAGUAAACGAUGAUGACUAACCGUCGGCGAUACACAGUCGGUGGCCAAGCGAAAGCGAUAAGUCAUCCACCUGGGGAGUACGUUCGCAAGAAUGAAACUCAAAUGAAUUGGCGGGG